AUUGAACGCUGGCGGCAGGCCUAACACAUGCAAGUCGAACGAGUGGCGGACGGGUGAGUAAUGUCUGGGAAACUGCCCGAUGGCGGGGGAUAACUACUGGAACCGGUAGCUAAUCCCGCAUACCAUCAGAUGUGCCCAGAUGGGAGUAGCUAGUAGGUGGGGUAAUGGCUCACCUAGGCGACGAUCCCUAGCUGGUCUGAGAGGAUGACCAGCCACACUGGAACUGAGACACGGGCCAGACGCCUACGGGAGGCAGCAGUGUGGAAUAUUGCACAAUGGGCGCAAGCCUGAUGCAGCCAUGCCGCGUGUGUGAAGAAGGUCUUCGGAUUGUAAAGCACUUGAAGUUGGGAGGCGUUACCAACAGAAUAAGCACCGGCUAACUUCGUGCCAGCAGCCGCGGUAAUAC
rnacentral:rRNA from 1 species